rnacentral:rRNA from 1 species
AUACGUAGGGGACGAGCGUUGUCCGGAAUUACUGGGCGUAAAGGGCGCGCAGGCGGAUAUUUAAGUCAGCUGUAAAAGGCAUGAGCUCAACUCAUGUAUGCGGUUGAAACUGGGCAUCUAGAGUGCUGGAGAGGUAGGCGGAAUUCCCGGUGUGGCGGUGAAAUGCGUAGAUAUCGGGAAGAACACCAGUGGCGAAGGCGGCUGACUGGCCAGCAACUGACGCUGAGGCGCGAAAGCCAAGGGAGCGAACGGGAUUAGAUACCCCGGUAGUCCUGGCCGUAAACGAUGAAUGCUAGGUGUGGGUGUCGAGAGGCAUCCGUGCCGGAGUUAACGCGAUAAGCAUUCCGCCUGGGGAGUACGAUCGCAAGAUUGAAACUCAAAGGAAUUGACGGGG